CUGACUGCUAUCGGAUGAUACUAAGCCAUGCGAGUCUUUGUAGUAAUACAAGGCAGACGGCUCAGUAACACGUAGUCAACCUACCCUAUGGACAAGAAUAAUCUCGGGAAACUGGGCAUAAUUCUUGAUAGAUCAUAAUGCCUGGAAUGGUUUAUGGUUAAAAUGAUUUAUCGCCGUAGGAUGGGACUGCGGCCUAUCAGUUUGUUGGUGAGGUAAUGGCCCACCAAGGCGAUUACAGGUACGGGCUCUGAGAGGAGAAGCCCGGAGAUGGGUACUGAGACACGGACCCAGGCCCUAUGGGGCGCAGCAGGCGAGAAAACUUUGCAAUGUGCGAAAGCACGACAAGGUUAAUCCGAGUGAUUUCUGCUAAAGAAAUCUUUUGCCAGUCGUAAAACCGCUGGUGAAUAAGGGGUGGGCAAGUUCUGGUGUCAGCCGCCGCGGUAAAACCAGCACCUCAAGUGGUCAGGAUGAUUAUUGGGCCUAAAGCAUCCGUAGCCGGCUUUGUAAGUUUUCGGUUAAAUCCAUGUGCUCAACGCAUGGGCUGCCGAAAAUACUGCAUAGCUAGGGAGUGGGAGAGGUAGACGGUACUCAGUAGGUAGGGGUAAAAUCCUUUGAUCUAUUGAUGACCACCUGUGGCGAAGGCGGUCUACCAGAACACGUUCGACGGUGAGGGAUGAAAGCUGGGGGAGCAAACCGGAUUAGAUACCCGGGUAGUCCCAGCUGUAAACGAUGCAGACUAGAUGAUGCAUUGGCAUAAUAGCCAUUGCAGUGUCUCAGGGAAGCCGUUAAGUCUGCCGCCUGGGAAGUACGUACGCAAGUAUGAAACUUAAAGGAAUUGGCGGGGGAGCACCACAAGGGGUGAAGCCUGCGGUUCAAU
rnacentral:rRNA from 1 species